rnacentral:lncRNA from 1 species
UCUUAUUCCUUUAUCCUCUUUGUUAUUCAUAUCUACUCGAUCAUAUCCAAAACCACAAAAUUUAUCUCUGUAAAACCAUCUUGCAAUAAUUGAGGAGAUGAUGGAGGACCAGUCAGCGACAUGAGCGACGAGUGUCGUUGGUGGAGGCGCAACGAACAGCAGGUGAUAGGACCACCAAUGUGAGUGAGAGCAGCAACGUGAGCGGAGGGUACAACUAGCGAUAGGUUACGGGAACAACGAGCGACUGGCGAUAGCAAGCAACGAGCAACAAUGAGCAAUGGGCAACGACAAGCAACAAGUGACGGUGAGCAGCAGGUGAUGACGAGCAGUAACCUUUUGGUGAUUUUUUAUUUUUUUAAUUUUUUAUAAUUGGAUUUUAUUUAUUUUGACUUUUGUUAGAUUUGUUAAUUUUUGUUAGAUUUAUUGAAUUUGAAUCUUAAAUCUCUUGAAAUUUUUAUUUGUUUAUGUAGAUUGAGUUUGUGAUUUUAAUUAUUUUUUUGAUUUGUGGAUAAGUUUUUGUUGCUUCAUUUCUUUAAGAGAGAGACCUCUAAUUUUGAUAAAAUUAAACUUUUGGGACUAAAGUGUUAGAUUUUAAAGAGGAUAGUUAGGUCAUGUCUCCUUUCAUUAAUGGUAUUUUUUUAUAUGGAUGACCUCUAAUUUUUACGGAAUUAAAGUUGAGGGAUUGAAAUGUUAGGUUCAAAAUAGAGAGGGCCAAAUUCAUUAAUUAUACUACAUCUCAAGGACAAAAAAAUAAAUUUUCCAAUGCAAUUAUGUAUUAUAGGAACCAUUUAUUAAUUUGACCAGAUUAAUUAACCUGCAUGCAAGCUAGGCUUAAGCCCCUUUGUCUCUUCCUCCAUUUGCUCCAUUGGACUUGCAGUCUCUUGAUCCGAAGCCUUUGGACUGUCUUCUUCAUCUGGCGUGUGGAUUGUUUCAAAUCAGAGAAGG